rnacentral:rRNA from 1 species
AUCUGGUUGAUCCUGCCAGAGGCUACCGCUAUUGGAGUUCGAUUAAGCCAUGCGAGUCGAGAGUCUUAGGGACUCGGCGUACCGCUCAGUAACACGUGGGUAACCUGCCCUAUGCUGGGGAAUAACCUCGGGAAACUGAGAGUAAUACCUCAUAGUCCACAAUGCCUGGAACGGUUUGUGGAUUAAAGCCCCGGCGGCAUAGGAUGGGCCUGCGGCGUAUCAGGUUGUAGGGGGUGUAACGUACCCUCUAGCCAUCAACGCGUACGGGUGUUGGGAGACAUAGCCCGGAGAUGGAUUCUGAGACACGAAUCCAGACCCUACGGGGUGCAGCAGGCGCGAAAACUUGGCAAUGCGAGAAAUCGUGACCAGGGAACUCCAAGUGGCUGGGGUAAGACCCAGUCUUUUCUUGACUCUUCAAAGGUCUUGGAAUAAGAGGUGGGUAAGGACGGUGCCAGCCGCCGCGGUAAUACCGGCGCCUCAAGUGGUAGUCGAUUUUAUUGGGCCUAAAACGUCCGUAGCCUGUUUGGUACAUUCGUGGGUAAAUCAACCAGCUUAACUGGUUGAAUUCUGCGAGCACGGCCAGACUUGGGACCGGGAGAGGUGUGGGG